rnacentral:rRNA from 1 species
UACGGGGGGGGCAAGCGUUGUUCGGAAUUACUGGGCGUAAAGGGCUCGUAGGCGGCCGACUAAGUCAGACGUGAAAUCCCUCGGCUUAACCGGGGAACUGCGUCUGAUACUGGACGGCUUGAGUUCGGGAGAGGGAUGCGGAAUUCCAGGUGUAGCGGUGAAAUGCGUAGAUAUCUGGAGGAACACCGGUGGCGAAGGCGGCAUCCUGGACCGACACUGACGCUGAUGCGCGAAAGCCAGGGGAGCAAACGGG